GGGGAAUAUUGCACAAUGGGCGCAAGCCUGAUGCAGCGACGCCGCGUGAGGGAUGACGGCCUUCGGGUCGUAAACCUCUUUUAGUAGGGAAGAGGCCGUAAGGUGACGGUACCUGCAGAAGAAGCGCCGGCUAACUACGUGCCAGCAGCCGCGGUAAUACGUAGGGCGCAAGCGUUAUCCGGAAUUAUUGGGCGUAAAGAGCUCGUAGGCGGUUUGUCGCGUCUGCUGUGAAAGACCGGGGCUCAACUCCGGUUCUGCAGUGGGUACGGGGAGACUAGAGUGCAGUAGGGGAGACUGGAAUUCCUGGUGUAGCGGUGAAAUGCGCAGAUAUCAGGAGGAACACCGAUGGCGAAGGCAGGUCUCUGGGCUGUAACUGACGCUGAGGAGCGAAAGCAUGGGGAGCGAAC
rnacentral:rRNA from 1 species